UGUGAUGUGAGGACAGAGUUGGGGGAGACUGCAAUGGAACUUCCAUUCACCAUGUGUAAUGACCACAGCAUGCCAUUUACUGAAUUACACAUCUGGUGAGAGGUCUUACCCCCAUCGCUUACUUAUGAGUCUUCUCUGGCAAAUGACUAAACAUGUUUAAGAAUAUGGCUGGACACGCUUAACAUCUUUGGUACUUGAGUAACAUCAGUGAACAACACUCUGAUGCUGAUUUGAAAUGAACAGUGAGCAAGAUGUAAACCUUUCAGGGGCUGAUAAGAUGGCUUAAUGGGGACCACCAGUACCAAGCAUGAAUUUGGAAGGAACAGGUACAUGGACUCUGUGAUGGUUGAUAAGACAUGCAGCUGAGGCUGGUCCACCUGAGAUUGGAGCUUCUGUGGGGGUAAUUCCAAUGUAACUGCUUUUCCCAAUAUAGCAUGAGAUGGUGUGCUUCCUUGUUGAAGUGCAGCUGUAUGCUACCUUCUAUGUGUGAUAACACAGGUGGCUGGUUCC